GGAUACCACCAUGAAUCUUGAUAAAAGGUCCUGGUUCUUUGUAAACCCAACUUUCUUCUUUUGAUUAAUGACUUGCUCUAUAAGAAAGUUAACAUUUUGAACUGCUUCUUUGAGCUUUCUCUCCGAUCCCAUAUUCAGUAUCCUAUUCGCCUUCCAUAUCAGUGGAGAAGCAGACAAAGCUCUCUUAGCCGACAAUGUUGUGGCUAGAUCAAACGAAUCAGAGAAUUGAGAAAUAUGAAAAGGUAAUUCGGGUGAAUUUAGAUCUAAACCCAAAGAAAAUCUACAAAUAUAUUCAAAUGAAAAUUGUCUAAAGACAGAUUGUAGAUCCACUAAACCUCCAUCUCUUUCUCUAGUAGCCGAAGAUAGAAACGGGAGAAGUCGACUUUGAACGUGGUAACAGACAUUCGCGAAGGCAUUCGACACAUUUCCGAGCUCCAAACUUGCCAUCUUUCUCUGAAAUAACCAUGAAUCACCAUCGAC
rnacentral:lncRNA from 1 species